UUCCAGACUCCUACGGGAGGCAGCAGUGGGGAAUCUUCCGCAAUGGGCGAAAGCCUGACGGAGCAACGCCGCGUGAUCGAAUGAAGGCCUUCGGGUUGUAAAUAUCUGUUGACAGGGACGAAUAAGCAAUGCGAAUAGUUUUGUGUAUGACGGUACCUGUUUAGAAAGCUCCGGCUAACUACGUGCCAGCAGCCGCGGUAAUACGUAGGGAGCAAGCGUUGUCCGGAAUUACUGGGCGUAAAGGGCGCGUAGGUGGGCGCUUAAGUCAGGUGUGAAAACUCCGGGCUCAACCUGGAGACUGCACUUGAAACUGGGUGUCUUGAGGGCAGGAGAGGAAAGUGGAAUUCCUAGUGUAGCGGUGAAAUGCGUAGAUAUCGAGAGGAACACUCGUGGCGAAGGCGGGUUCCUGGACAUUAACUGACGCUGAGGCACGAAGGCCAGGGGAGCGAAAGGGAUUAGAUACCCUGGUACC
rnacentral:rRNA from 1 species